rnacentral:rRNA from 1 species
ACCUCAGCUCAAGCAAGAAAACCCGCUGAACUUAAGCAUAUCAAUAAGCGGAGGAAAAGAAACUAACAAGGAUUCCCCUAGUAACGGCGAGUGAAGAGGGAAAAGCCCAAAUUUUAAAUCUACCUGGUUCCCAGGUCGAAUUGUAUUUUGAAGAAUCGAUAUCGGUGUUGAGGUCUGGUUCAAGUUCUUUGGAACAAGACAUCAUGGAGGGUGAGAAUCCCGUGCAUGAUCAGACCAAGAUACUUUAUAUUCGUUUUCUAAGAGUCGAGUUGUUUGGGAAUGCAGCUCAAAUUGGGUGGUAGACUUCACCUAAGGCUAAAUAUCAGCGAGAGACCGAUAGCGAACAAGUACUGUGAAGGAAAGAUGAAAAGCACUUUGAAAAGAGAGUUAAAUAGUACGUGAAAUUGUUGAAAGGGAAACGAUUGAAGUCAGUCAUGCUAGUGAAAAUUCAGUUUGACGGGUUUUGGGUUUAGGAGUAAGAGAUAGGGUCAAACCAUCUCUCUUUUAAACUUGGGAUUUGUCGGAUGCACUUUUUCUUUGGCAGGUCAGCGUCGAUUUCGGGGGUUGUAAAAUACUUGGGGGAAAGUAGCUCUGCUUCGGGAGAGUGUUAUAGACCUUGGGAGAUGCAGCCCGUGGGAUCGAGGAUUGCAGCAAAUGCCUUUGGCUUGUCUUCUGAUCUUUGAUUGUUACCUCGUUUAUGACAACAUUCUUGCCAUCGAUGAGUACUAGUGGUUAUGGGUUAGAAUGAUCAAAAAUUUGCUAAGGAUGCUGACGUAAUGGCUUUAAACGACCCGUCUUGAAACACGGACCAAGGAGUCUAACAUAUGUGCGAGUGUUU